UACGUAGGGGGCAAGCGUUGUCCGGAUUUAUUGGGCGUAAAGAGCUCGUAGGCGGUUUGUUGCGUCUAUCGUGAAAACCUGCAGCUUAACUGUGGGCUUGCGGUGGAUACGGGCAGACUUGAGUUCGGUAGGGGAGACUGGAAUUCCUGGUGUAGCGGUGAAAUGCGCAGAUAUCAGGAGGAACACCGGUGGCGAAGGCGGGUCUCUGGGCCGAUACUGACGCUGAGGAGCGAAAGCGUGGGGAGCGAACAGG
rnacentral:rRNA from 1 species